GAUGAACGCUGGCGGCGUGCCUAAUACAUGCAAGUCGAGCGAACAGACGAGGAGCUUGCUCCUCUGACGUUAGCGGCGGACGGGUGAGUGACACGUGGAUAACCUACCUAUAAGACUGGGAUAACUUCGGGAAACCGGAGCUAAUACCGGAUAAUAUAUUGAACCGCAUGGUUCAAUAGUGAAAGACGGUUUUGCUGUCACUUAUAGAUGGAUCCGCGCCGCAUUAGCUAGUUGGUAAGGUAACGGCUUACCAAGGCAACGAUGCGUAGCCGACCUGAGAGGGUGAUCGGCCACACUGGAACUGAGACACGGUCCAGACUCCUACGGGAGGCAGCAGUAGGGAAUCUUCCGCAAUGGGCGAAAGCCUGACGGAGCAACGCCGCGUGAGUGAUGAAGGUCUUCGGAUCGUAAAACUCUGUUAUUAGGGAAGAACAAAUGUGUAAGUAACUAUGCGCGUCUUGACGGUACCUAAUCAGAAAGCCACGGCUAACUACGUG
rnacentral:rRNA from 1 species